AGUGAACGCUGGCGGUAGGCCUAACACAUGCAAGUCGAACGGCAGCACAGUAAGAGCUUGCUCUUACGGGUGGCGAGUGGCGGACGGGUGAGGAAUACAUCGGAAUCUACUUUUUCGUGGGGGAUAACGUAGGGAAACUUACGCUAAUACCGCAUACGACCUACGGGUGAAAGCAGGGGAUCUUCGGACCUUGCGCGAUUGAAUGAGCCGAUGUCGGAUUAGCUAGUUGGCGGGGUAAAGGCCCACCAAGGCGACGUUCCGUAGCUGGUCUGAGAGGAUGAUCAGCCACACUGGAACUGAGACACGGUCCAGACUCCUACGGGAGGCAGCAGUGGGGAAUAUUGGACAAUGGGCGCAAGCCUGAUCCAGCCAUACCGCGUGGGUGAAGAAGGCCUUCGGGUUGUAAAGCCCUUUUGUUGGGAAAGAAAAGCAGCAGGUUAAUACCCCGCUGUUCUGACGGUACCCAAAGAAUAAGCACCAGCUAACUUCGUG
rnacentral:rRNA from 1 species